UGGGGAAUAUUGCACAAUGGGGGAAACCCUGAUGCAGCGACGCCGCGUGAACGAAGAAGGUAUUCGUAUCGUAAAGUUCUGUCCUAUGGGAAGAUAAUGACAGUACCAUAGAAGAAAGCUCCGGCUAAAUACGUGCCAGCAGCCGCGGUAAUACGUAUGGAGCGAGCGUUGUCCGGAAUUAUUGGGCGUAAAGGGUACGCAGGCGGUUUAAUAAGUCGAAUGUUAAAGAUCGGGGCUCAACCCCGUAAAGCAUUGGAAACUGAUAAACUUGAGUAGGGGAGAGGAAAGUGGAAUUCCUAGUGUAGUGGUGAAAUACGUAGAUAUUAGGAGGAAUACCAGUAGCGAAGGCGACUUUCUGGACACAAACUGACGCUGAGGUACGAAAGCGUGGGGAGCAAGCAGG
rnacentral:rRNA from 1 species